rnacentral:rRNA from 1 species
AACGAACGCUGGCGGCAGGCCUAACACAUGCAAGUCGAGCGAUCCUUCGGGAUAGCGGCGGACGGGUGAGUAACACGUGGGUAACCUGCCCAAAAGAAGGGGAUAACAUUUGGAAACAAGUGCUAAUACCGUAUAACCAUGAUGACCGCAUGGUCAUGAUGUAAAAGGUGGUUUUGCUAUCGCUUUUGGAUGGACCCGCGGCGUAUUAACUAGUUGGUAAGGUAACGGCUUACCAAGGUGAUGAUACGUAGCCGAACUGAGAGGUUGAUCGGCCACAAUGGGACUGAGACACGGCCCAUACUCCUACGGGAGGCAGCAGUAGGGAAUCUUCCACAAUGGGCGCAAGCCUGAUGGAGCAACGCCGCGUGAAUGAAGAAGGUCUUCGGAUCGUAAAGUUCUGUUAUUAGAGAAGAACACGUGUAAGAGUAACUGAUUAUGCGUUGACGGUAUCUAAUCAGCAAGUCACGGCUAACUACGUGCCAGCCGCCGCCGUAACAC